UCCAGGGCACUUAUGAACUUUCCAGAUGUGGUGUUGUUCUCUGACUUACCAUGUUGGCUUAUUACCUAACUGUCUCCCACUUCCCAUGAGAAGAUGAAGAAGCCGACAUACAGAAGAUAAGCCACUUUUCCAAAUUCACAAAGUGAAUUAUCACGGUUCCAUUAACCCUUGAAGACUGAGGUAUCAACACAUCUACAGUAAUGGCCGACUGCAGUGAUACCAAGAUUGAACAGCAGUAUUCAGAACCUCAUGUGAAUCUUAGAGAAACCCUUCGGAGAAACAGAUUCCUGUUGCAAAAACAUCAGUUUUUCAUUUCGCCAGGUGGUAGGGAGCAAACCAACAGUUUAGCAAAGGACAGCUUCUACCUCAUUCACUCUGGCCAAUUGAGAUUUUACCGUCUUCAGAGAAGAAUGCUCAUGAGUGUAGAUGCUGAAUAAUAUGGUAGAUCUCAGGAGUAGUUCCCCGAAAUACCUUUUAGUUACAAAGGGGGAAAUAGUAACUUUUACAGUGGUAAAACCCAGCAGACAUCCCCUUAACCAAAUGGCCAAAGAUAACCGUGCAGCCAUGGGAAGAAUCAACAGUCUCCUGAUGGGAUGUUCCGAGUGUACCUCUGCCUCACUCCUGUGGUAUUCCAGCCAAAAAUGCAUCACCUGAAUCUCGUCACGAGGAAAUGGCCAGCAAACCCGAAUAGUCUACAAAAGGGAUAGUGUACAAAAUAACCGGUCUGUAUUCUUCACAAAUAUCAGUGUUGUGAGGAAGAAAGACUCGGAAAAGUGUUCCAGAUCAGAGACUGAAAUGACAAGAUGAUCGAAUUUAAAUUUUGGAUUGUUUUUGCUAUAAAAGACAUUGUUGUGGGUAUGUGUAGAGCCAGAGGGAAGCUAGAGUAUUCAGGGGGAUGGUGCCAUAAACUAUAUAAAUGUCUAACCAAUGUACUGUAUACUUGACACUAAUAAUAAAACUAAAUUUGAAAGACAUUGUUGGGACAAUUGACAAAUCUUAAUAAGGUCUGUAGAUUAGAUAAUAGCAUUGUUUCAGUGUUAACUGCCUGAUUUUGAUCACUGUCCUGUGGUCAUACAAGAGAAUUCAUGUUUUUAGGAAAUAUGAACAAAUAUUUAAGGAAUAAAAGGUCGUCAUAUCUGCAACUUACUCUUAGAUGGACAAGAGAGAACCAUUUGCCUGAUGAAAAUGUCCUGUGUUUUGACCGUGGUGGUUAUGAUGGUUACACGAGUGUAGAUAUUUGUCCAAAGUCAUCAAACUUAAAUGCAUAAAUUUUAUCAUUUGGAACCAUAUCUCAAUUUUUUUUAAAAGCUGAUUUAUUAAAAUGAUCUUCAUUUUGAUGAUGUAUGGCUUUGCUUUGCAUAGUAGCUACUCAAGCAAUAAGUCACAUAAACUAAUUUUCUGGGUUUUGGGGGUAUGGUUUCAUAGUGAUCGAUUGGCUAAUCUGAUGCAUGAAGUUCAACAGAUCAUUACUGAACUGUUACAAACUCUCGCCAUUAUGUCAUUUUAUCUCAUCUAUUUUAGGUAGUUUGCAACUAGGCAUGUAAGUUCUCAUUCAAAUAUCGCUUGCUUUUUAAAGAGCUGCAAAUGUUUUUUUUUUAUC